rnacentral:miRNA from 1 species
GUGGUUGAUUGGAUCCGUGGGU